UGGGGAAUAUUGCACAAUGGGGGAAACCCUGAUGCAGCGACGCCGCGUGAGCGAAGAAUGUUUUCGAAUCGUAAAGCUCUGUUCUAUGAGAAGAUAAUGUCGGUCUCAUAGGAGGAAGCCCCGGCUAAAUACGUGCCAGCAGCCGCGGUAAUACGUAUGGGGCGAGCAUUGUCCGGAAUUAUUGGGCGUAAAGGGUACGUAGGCGGUCUAUUAAGUCAGGUGUGAAAGCGUGAGGCUUAACCUCAUUAAGCACUUGAAACUGAUAGACUUGAGUGAAGGAGAGGAAAGUGGAAUUCCUAGUGUAGCGGUGAAAUGCGUAGAUAUUAGGAGGAAUACCGGUGGCGAAGGCGACUUUCUGGACUUUUACUGACGCUCAGGUACGAAAGCGUGGGGAGCAAACAGG
rnacentral:rRNA from 1 species